CCAGCCUGGACUGCUAUCCUGACUACAGCACACUGACUUGUUACCGCUUCAACGGAUUCUUUAAGUAAACGCACGAAACCAUCUGUGGUGUUUAUCUUAGCAUUAUGGCGCAGUGAUAUUUCUUAACAUUACGGUGCAGUGACAUUUCUUAACAUUACGGCGCAGUGAUAUUUCUUAACAUUACGGCGCAGUGACAUCUCUUAACAUUACGGCGCAGUGACAUCUCUUAACAUUAUGGCGCAGUGACAUCUCUUAACAUUACGGCGCAGUGUCUCUUGACAUUACGGCGCAGUGUUAGCAGCGGGGUGCCUGGUGCGAGAGUGUAAACUGAAGAGUGAGUGAUGGCUGCACACCACCGCAAGCUGGGUGCCUUGGCUGCGGCUGUCCUGAACGCCACCAUGGAUGACUUGCUGCCCCACAUAUCACCACCCAUCCACCGGCCCCACCCACCCCUCCACGCACGCCGCGCACUGGUCUUGUGUGGUGGGCCUCACUGCAGCAGCACCAUCAGCAGAACAACCCUGAGCUAACCACGCCAUCGUCCCCCAGUCUUUAUCUUCCGUACUGCCACACCAGGAUUCGCUGCAGAAGAGGAGGAGUGGACGGGAGGAAGAGGAGGCAGUGAACCAUACGCGGCCUUGAAGGAGGGCAGCGUGGCUCGGCCGUGAGUUCGAUCCCUGCACGCAGCAGUUACUUCGGCCGGAGGGGUGGCGCCCUUUUAAUCCCUCCCCAUCACCUUUAGUGGCCAACUUGCUUUACCAUAACGCUAUAUGACCUUAGCGCAUAAAAAUUUUCCCCACUCUCUUAAAAAAUUAUAAAUAAAAAGUAUUUUUUUAUUUUAUGUCAAUAACCUAAGUAACUACAUGUGUGUGUGUAUGUGUGUGUGUGUGUGUGUGUGUGUGUGUGUGUGUGUGUGUGUGUGUGUGUGUGUGUGUGUGUGUGUGUGUGUGUGUCACCAAUGAUAAACACAUCGUGUCGUAUGUUGAGCCACUGGCUGUCAAGCCCUGGAUCAACCAGUGAUGGUGCUGGGGAGGCGGAGGCACUCAUCGUCUCCACAAGACAGGAAUCGACCAUUGCAGAAGACGUGUGCUAUGAAACAGGAGUCAGUCAUUUAUAAUACCAGACUCAGACGAGGACAACAAACUCACCACGACGCCUUGCUGGAUGAACAAAUGGCCUGCAGUGAUACCGUUGUCAUCGUAAAUGAAAUGUUAAAGAAGACAGAAUAUGCUCACAGCAACGUUAACCAUAAAACGUGUGUGUAGCAUCUCUGCACAAGAUCUGAGUGUGACCUUGAGCGAUUUUUGGAUAACCUGCAGAUACAAGACCACCACCUGCGCGAGCGGCAUUUGUAUGUGUGCUGAUGUACAGCGAGGAGCACUUUUUGAACACAUGGAGGUGCUUGGUCUGGCGGUGUGACGCGCCCUGUGCUGUCUCACAAAGGUGUCUCACUGCCGUGUCUUCAUCGUUGGGUCAAGGCCAAGAGAAGUAGGGUAUCCGAGCCACCGACGUUUAAGAAGGCGCCCAACCUUUUCAUAGCGAUGCAGAAGAAUAUACAAAAAUGUCCAAGAAAAUAAUUUUAUUGAAGUGGGAAUCACACGGUCUGGAAAGAGGAACGAAUAUGAAAAGACUGCAAGGAGACUCUUCUUCUCUUAUGUUAUUAGUAAAAUGGAUACGAGCGUGCACUGCAACAGUGUAUGAAAAUGGAGGACGUAUUGCUGAAUAUGUCCUGAUUUGUACCAAAUGAAAAUAAAUUAGUAAAUGGCAGUUCUUAAGAAAAUUGU